UAGGGAAUAUUGGACAAUGGGCGAGAGCCUGAUCCAGCCAUGCCGCGUGCAGGAAGAAGGCGUUAUGCGUUGUAAACUGCUUUUUGCCAGGGGAUAAAAUGAGCGUGCGCGCUUAAUUGAAGGUACCUGGUGAAUAAGCCACGGCUAACUACGUGCCAGCAGCCGCGGUAAUACGUAGGUGGCAAGCGUUGUCCGGAUUUAUUGGGUUUAAAGGGUGCGUAGGCGGUUCUUUAAGUCAGUGGUGAAAUACAGCCGCUUAACGGUUGAGGUGCCAUUGAUACUGAAGAACUUGAGUACAGACGAGGUAGGCGGAAUUGACGGUGUAGCGGUGAAAUGCUUAGAUAUCGUCAAGAGCACCGAUAGCGAAGGCAGCUUACUAGACUGUAACUGACGCUGAGGCACGAAAGUGUGGGGAUCAAACAGGAUUAGAUACCCGGGUAGUCCCUGAGCGGGCUGGCAAGGCG
rnacentral:rRNA from 1 species